rnacentral:rRNA from 1 species
UACGAGGGGUCCUAGCGUUGUUCGGAAUCAUUGGGCGUAAAGCGCUCGUAGGUGGCUUAGUAAGUCAGGUGUGAAAGCCCCGGGCUCAACCCGGGAAGUGCACUUGAAACUGCAUAGCUUGAGUACGGUAGAGGUGAGUGGAAUUCCUGGUGUAGUGGUGAAAUACGUAGAUAUCAGGAGGAACAUCGGUGGCGAAGGCGGCUCACUGGACCAGUACUGACACUGAGGAGCGAAAGCAUGGGGAUCAAACAGG